GCUCAGUCGGCUGCUGCUGCAGGAGUUUCACCACAAGAGUCGGACAGUGACCAGCUCCAGGUCACGACCUGUGUACAGGGAACUGAUUGGUAGAUCUGGAACUCCUGUGGCGCCCCCCACUGAUCCAGGAUCUCAAAACAAUGAAAUGAUCCAACAAACAGGAGCUGAUAGAAUUUAUUCCACUGUGCAACUGACCGACUGUUUAAAACACAUCAGUGCCUCACACUGUUGCACCGGGCGACCAUCACCAUGGACAAUGGGCUGCAGUUCAUUUUGCACCAUAAUAC